AAAACAUCUUUUCUUGUUAUUAAUUUGAAAUAUGGCCUGCCCAAUGAUUUAUUUAAUGGCCGCGGUAAAUUGACCGUGCAAAGGUAGCAUAAUCAUUAGUCUUUUAAUUGAGGACUUGUAUGAAUGGUUUGACAAGAUAUUUACUGUCUCAUAUUAAUUUAUUAUAAUUUAAAUUUUGAGUUAAAAUGCUUAAAUUAUAUUAUAGGACGAGAAGACCCUAUAGAUCUUUAUUUUCUUAAAUUUUUAUUUUAUUUAGUUUAUUUAUUUUUAAUUAUUUAGUUUUUUUGUUGGGGUGACAUUGAGAUAUAAUCAACUCUUUUUAUUUUUAUACAAUUAUUUUUGUUUAUUUGACCUUUUAUUAUUGUUAUAAGAUUAGAUACCUUAGGGAUAACAGCGUAAUUUUUUUUGAGAGUUCAUAUCGACAAAAAUGAUUGCGACCUCGAUGUUGGAUUAAGAUAUUUUUUAGGUGUAGGUACUUAAUUAUUAUAGGUCUGUUCGACCUUUAAAAUCUUACA
rnacentral:rRNA from 1 species